UUUCCUACGGCACGCAGCAGUGAGGAAUAUUGGUCAAUGGGCGGGAGCCUGAACCAGCCAAGUCGCGUGAGGGAAGACGGUCCUACGGAUUGUAAACCUCUUUUGCCGGGGAGCAACGGGGUCCUUGCGAGGGCCCGAUGAGAGUACCCGGAGAAAAAGCAUCGGCUAACUCCGUGCCAGCAGCCGCGGUAAUACGGAGGAUGCGAGCGUUAUCCGGAUUUAUUGGGUUUAAAGGGUGCGUAGGCGGGCUGUUAAGUCAGCGGUAAAAUCGAGAGGCUCAACCUCUUUCCGCCGUUGAAACUGUC
rnacentral:rRNA from 1 species